rnacentral:misc_RNA from 1 species
GAUGAAGAACGCAGCGAAAUGCGAUAAGUAGUGUGAAUUGCAGAAUUCAGUGAAUCAUCGAAUCUUUGAACGCACAUUGCGCCCUUUGGUAUUCCAAAGGGCAUGCCUGUUCGAGCGUCAUUUGUACCCUCAAGCUUUGCUUGGUGUUGGGCGUCUUGUCUCUAGCUUUGCUGGAGACUCGCCUUAAAGUAAUUGGCAGCCGGCCUACUGGUUUCGGAGCGCAGCACAAGUCGCACUCUCUAUCAGCAAAGGUCUAGCAUCCACUAAGCCUUUUUUUCAACUUUUGACCUCGGAUCAGGUAGGGAUACCCGCUGAACUUAAGCAUAUCAAUAAGCGGAGGA